AUUGAACGCUGGCGGCAGGCUUAACACAUGCAAGUCGAGCGGGGUGAUGGUGCUUGCACUAUCACUUAGCGGCGGACGGGUGAGUAAUGCUUAGGAAUCUGCCUAUUAGUGGGGGACAACAUCUCGAAAGGGAUGCUAAUACCGCAUACGUCCUACGGGAGAAAGCAGGGGAUCACUUGUGACCUUGCGCUAAUAGAUGAGCUUAAGUCGAGUUAGCUAGUUGGUGGGGUAAAGGCCUACCAAGGCGACGAUCUGUAGCGGGUCUGAGAGGAUGAUCCGCCACACUGGGACUGAGACACGGCCCAGACUCCUACGGGAGGGAGCAGUGGGGAAUAUUGGACAAUGGGGGGAACCCUGAUCCAGCCAUGCCGCGUGUGUGAAGAAGGCCUUAUGGUUGUAAAGCACUUUAAGCGAGGAGGAGGCUCUUUUGGUUAAUACCCAAGAUGAGUGGACGUUACUCGCAGAAUAAGCACCGGCUAACUCUGUGCCAGCCGCCGCCGUAA
rnacentral:rRNA from 1 species